AUUGAACGCUGGCGGCAUGCUUUACACAUGCAAGUCGGACGAGUGGCGAACGGGUGAGUAAUAUAUUGGAACGUACCGAGUAAUGGGGGAUAACCAAUCGAAAGAUUGGCUAAUACCGCAUAUUCUUCGCGCGGCCCAUAUAGGAUUAGCUAGUGGGUGGGGUAAAGGCCUACCAAGGCGACGAUCACUAGCGGGUCUGAGAGGAUGAUCAGCCACACUGGGACUGAGACACGGCCCAGACUCCUACGGGAGGCAGCAGUGGGGAAUUUUGGACAAUGGGCGCAAGCCUGAUCCAGCCAUGCCGCGUGUCUGAAGAAGGCCUUCGGGUUGUAAAGGACUUUUGUUAGGGAAGCGGUACCUAAAGAAGAAGCACCGGCUAACUACGUGCCAGCCGCCGCGGUAAUAC
rnacentral:rRNA from 1 species